UCGCAGUCUAAAAAUAUCCUAUCUGCAUGGUAGUAGGACUUGAUUACGUUGUGCCACGUAAUUGUGGCACUGCACAAACGUGUGCCCCUUUGCGCAGCUACUUAUGUAGAUGUGAUUGUAUACACAUCUUGGUCACCUUAAAACAAUCAAACUUGUUUGGAGUUAAUCUGCUGAUCCAACCCCGUUUUCUUUUUCAGUCAGAAUGAAAUGACCGAAUAUGCAUGGCUCCGGUGCACAGACCGAUGCAUUACAUCUUUAUGAGACAAAACUGAGGAAAAAUACUAUUUACAUUCGAGUGAGGUUUUCACAUCCUUUUACUUUUAUUUUCUUUAUUUUGUGUGCAUGUUAGCUUAUUGUCUGAGGAUAAAUGCGGUUCAGUUUAAUCAUUUACGUUAAAACAAUAAAAUAUUAAAAUCAUGAAAAGACAUCAGGUUUGAAACUUCUUGGUUUAAAUAACAUCGAAUGUAGUUAGAUUUCAGUGUAUUUAAGUGAGUUUUGACGCUUUGAAAUUUGAUAUUGUCCACAGAAAAAGUUUGCUUGGCUGCUGCACAUUUUCAUGCCAGCGAAGAAGUGUUUACUAAAACUUUGGCACAAAGUACAUUUUUAUGCAUGCCGACUUGUGACCUCCACAUGUCUUCAUAGUGGAAGGCUUUUUCUUUUUUUUUUAACUGAGCAGCUGGCCACAUUUUUAACAGCAAAAACUGGGCUCUGUGAUGGACUGGUGACCUGUCCACGGUGAACCCCGCCUCUCAUCUGAUGACUGCUGGAGAUGGGCACCACCAGCCCCAAUCACCACCCUGCAAGGAUCAGCAUGUUCAGAUCAUGGAUGGAAAGAUUUUAAGGCAUCCGGUCCCAAUCAUUAUCAGUUCUAAUGAUGCCACAUACAUAGUGAGUCCACAACCUCUUAAAAUUGUUUCUGUGAAGUGCAGUGGUCCAGUGAAUGGGAAUGUUCUGUCGUUGAUCCUCACUGUUAUCAAGGCUCUCUCUACUUUUAAUUCAACAUUAUGCGAGUAAAAAUGGCUAAUUUGAACAGCGUCUGCUAUCUUCACCUUCUUGGUUGUUCUUCGUUUUAUGGUGCGUUUAAAAAAAACCUGAAAGUGUGCCAUACCACCACCAUCUGGUCUGGAGUGUGAACUGGCGCUAAUGCCUUUCACUAAUAGAUCUUACAUUAUACAUCUGAAAAUGGAUUGGGUAAAAACAGCUUCCGUGUUUUAGUUAAAAAACUGAAAACAACAGAUCAUAUUCGGAAAGAUGUAGAACUAAAGAUACCUGCUACAUUUAGUGUUAAGGACAAGUUUUGUUGUAGAACCUGUCACUAAAGUAUACGUGUUUGAUAUUUUGAGGUAUGAACACAGUAUUUACUUUGUUAAACAACAUUACAUCAAGUAUAAAUUUUAUUAUUUUUUAUUCUUUGCCAUUUUAACAAAAACAGUAAAAGAUUAUUAGGGCACCUAAAAAGGCAUACUUUAUUAGCCCAAAAUAUACACUGAUAUGUAAUUUAAAACAUACUGAAAAUAAUAUUUUAAAGUAAGAGUUAGUGAAUUUUAAAAAAUUCUAUUUUGAGCAUAUAUAUUAAAAUAUACACAAAAUAUCUAAGAUAUUUUAAAUAUAUUUAAAAUCUUUUAAAUAUACACUUGCGCAAGUGUAUAUUUACACUUGGGCAAAUACAUAUUUUGUUCACUUAAAGUAUACUUUUAUUUAAUAGAUUUCUUAAAAAGUGUAUUUUGGUACAAUUAUAUUUAAGUAUGUUUAAAGUUAUGUCAAUUGGUACAAGCAUUAUACUUGUAUAUUUAUAGGUAGAACACUUAAUACUUAGUAUACUUAAAAUAUACUUACACAAACGUAAGUACAGUAUAUACUAAAGUAUUUUUUCUUUUUGACUAGGGUAGGUUUGCUUUAAAAUGACCUUUUGUGGUUCACUCUUCCUGUGGAAUGUGCCAAUUACUGUCUCUUAGACAUCUGGCAAGUCAGCACUCUUGACAAUCCAGUAAGCAAGGGCACAGAAUUUAUGAAUCUUUUUUUAGUAAUUUUAUUAAAUAAUUUUCUGAAACAUUGAAUUAUGGGGUUUUGUUACAAGCCAUAAUAAAAAAAGUAAAAAGGCUUAAUUAUUUGCACAAUAAUUCUGAUUUAAUUCACAUGGAAGAAAAGCAUAUUUUUUCCCCCCAAAAAGUGGAAAUCUUUACAUCUCGUCAAAACAGUCCGCAUAAAACAUGGCUUUGCAAUUUUCAUGUAAUAUGUCAUUGGAUUUAUCAUAGAAGCUGUUUAACAGAACAAAGUCUGUAAUAAAAUGAGUGAGCAAUU